rnacentral:antisense_RNA from 1 species
CACAGUAGUUAUCGGGCUCUUUUUGGGUGUAUUGACUAUGUCGUCGUUUAAUUAUCUAUCACGCUUAUUUAGCCAAUAAGAAAAUAGCGUGAGUAUAACCCC